UGCGAUACAUACAGUGGAGCAGCAGAGUGAGUGGAGAAUUAGAGUCGGUGCCAGUUCACCUAGAGGCAUUUAUCUUUUCUUUUUUCCCUGGUGCCUGCGCUGAGCCUGAGGAUCAGAAUGGAAAAGAGAACUAUUGGGCUCCCUGCCUGGCUGCGAGUGUUGCUGAGCACACAGCCGCUACAAUAAUCUGUCAGUGCUGCUGCUGAUGCCUGCUGACGUUACCAUGAAGGCUGCUGCCACCCAAAGGAACUGGACAGAAUGAUAGCACUGGGCUCCACUCAGGAACACAUCUCCUAAGAUAUUGACGAGCAAGCUGUGCCACAGUGGGGUGAGGGUUGGAAGAGGGAAGGCUCCAGAGCCCGGGCUUCAUUCUCUCACACGAAGAAACAACAGGGAGAGGACACUCUUGGAAACUCUCCACCUCCCUCAUUCUUCUCUAAGAAAGAGAGUUGCUUUAUCUCGUUGACAAAUUUGGAAGCAAAUACUGGGCAAGAGCAGCUCAGCUCCUGCCCAUACAGGACUCAAGCUCUGGUGUACUCUCCACAUGCCAAAGCUCAAUGGCACACUCUGUCCCUGCAGCGGGAGCCUAUGGCAUUGCCUGUGAUUGGGGGUGAGGCUAUCUAUUCUGAGAUUCAAGAUGGAAGCCCCCAUUGCCCCUCCUAAGCCGUGCUUUCCAGCAUUGUAAUAAAACUGGAUUUUUUUCCCUCUAUCUCCUUUAUUCCACCUUAUCACUUGGGUUAGCAUUCAGAUGGGGGGAAAGAGGCUGUCAUGUGUCAACCUUCUCAAACCCCAACAUUCUGGACCAAACA